UACGGAGGGUGCAAGCGUUAUCCGGAUUCACUGGGUUUAAAGGGAGCGCAGGCGGAUUGGUAAGUCAGUGGUGAAAGGCUUAAGCUUAACUUGGGAACUGCCAUUGAUACUAUCAGUCUUGAAUGUUGUUGAGGUUUGCGGAAUGGGUCAUGUAGCGGUGAAAUGCAUAGAUAUGACCCGGAACACCUAUUGCGAAGGCAGCAGGCUAAACAAAUAUUGACGCUGAGGCUCGAAAGCGUGGGGAGCAAACGGG
rnacentral:rRNA from 1 species